rnacentral:rRNA from 1 species
AUUGAACGCUGGCGGCAUGCCUUACACAUGCAAGUCGAACGGCAGCACGGGAGCAAUCCUGGUGGCGAGUGGCGAACGGGUGAGUAAUAUAUCGGAACGUGCCCAGUCGUGGGGGAUAACGCAGCGAAAGCUGUGCUAAUACCGCAUACGAUCUAAGGAUGAAAGCGGGGGAUCGCAAGACCUCGCGCGAUUGGAGCGGCCGAUAUCAGAUUAGCUAGUUGGUGGGGUAAAGGCCCACCAAGGCGACGAUCUGUAGCUGGUCUGAGAGGACGACCAGCCACACUGGAACUGAGACACGGUCCAGACUCCUACGGGAGGCAGCAGUGGGGAAUUUUGGACAAUGGGCGCAAGCCUGAUCCAGCAAUGCCGCGUGCAGGAUGAAGGCCUUCGGGUUGUAAACUGCUUUUGCACGGAACGAAACGGCCCUUUCUAAUACAGGGGGCUAAUGACGGUACCGUAAGAAUAAGCACCGGCUAACUCUGUGCCAGCCGCCGCCGUAA